rnacentral:rRNA from 1 species
UACAGAGGGGGCAAGCGUUGUCCGGAAUUACUGGGCGUAAAGGGCGCGUAGGCGGCCUGUUAAGUCGAACGUGAAAUCCCUGGGCUCAACCCAGGAACUGCGUCCGAUACUGGCAGGCUUGAAUCCGGGAGAGGGAUGUGGAAUUCCAGGUGUAGCGGUGAAAUGCGUAGAUAUCUGGAGGAACACCGGUGGCGAAGGCGGCAUACUGGACCACUACUGACGCUGAUGCGCGAAAGCCAGGGGAGCAAACGGG